rnacentral:rRNA from 1 species
UGAGCUUGAUCCUGGCUCAGGAUGAACGCUAGCGGCAGGCUUAACACAUGCAAGUCGAGGGGUAUUAGUUUUCGGACUAAGAGACCGGCGCACGGGUGCGUAACGCGUAUGCAAUCUACCUUUUACAGAGGGAUAGCCCAGAGAAAUUUGGAUUAAUACCUCAUAGUAUAAUGACUCGGCAUCGAGAUAUUAUUAAAGUCACAACGGUAAAAGAUGAGCAUGCGUCCCAUUAGCUAGUUGGUAAGGUAACGGCUUACCAAGGCUACGAUGGGUAGGGGUCCUGAGAGGGAGAUCCCCCACACUGGUACUGAGACACGGACCAGACUCCUACGGGAGGCAGCAGUGAGGAAUAUUGGACAAUGGGCGCAAGCCUGAUCCAGCCAUGCCGCGUGCAGGAUGACGGUCCUAUGGAUUGUAAACUGCUUUUAUACGAGAAGAAACACUGCUUCGUGAAGCAGCUGACGGUAU